GACGAACGCUGGCGGCGCGCCUAACACAUGCAAGUCGAACGAGCGAGAGGAGGUUUACUUUCUCCAGCGAGUGGCGAACGGGUGAGUAACGCGUGAGGAACCUGCCUCAAAGAGGGGGACAACAGUUGGAAACGACUGCUAACACCGCAUAAGCCCACGACCCGGCAUCGGGUAGAGGGAAAAGGAGCAAUCCGCUUUGAGAUGGCCUCGCGUCCGAUUAGCUAGUUGGUGAGGUAAUGGCCCACCAAGGCGACGAUCGGUAGCCGGACUGAGAGGUUGAACGGCCACAUUGGGACUGAGACACGGCCCAGACUCCUACGGGAGGCAGCAGUGGGGAAUAUUGCACAAUGGGGGAAACCCUGAUGCAGCGACGCCGCGUGGAGGAAGAAGGUCUUCGGAUUGUAAACUCCUGUUGUUGAGGAAGAUAAUGACGGUACUCAACAAGGAAGUGACGGCUAACUACGUG
rnacentral:rRNA from 1 species